GGUAAGAGGUUAAAUUGUUCUAAGUCCUACAUUAACCAAUAUAUAUGUCCUUGUUUGGUCAAAGCUCUUUCUAUUUUACGAGAGCCAACGACUUUGGGAUUUGGGAUAUCAAACUACCAUGUAAGCUGCUUACCGUAAGCAUGACGUACAAAGUAUAGUCUCGAAUGAAUGUAAUUAAACUUAUACUACAAUAUAUCUGGGGAAAUAAUUG
rnacentral:lncRNA from 1 species